rnacentral:rRNA from 1 species
UACGUAGGGUGCAAGCGUUGUCCGGAAUUAUUGGGCGUAAAGGGCUCGUAGGCGGCCAACUAAGUCAGACGUGAAAUCCCUCGGCUUAACCGGGGAACUGCAUCUGAUACUGGAUGGCUUGAGAUUGGGAGAGGGAUGCGGAAUUCCAGGUGUAGCGGUGAAAUGCGUAGAUAUCUGGAGGAACACCGGUGGCGAAGGCGGCAUCCUGGACCAACACUGACGCUGAGGAGCGAAAGCCAGGGGAGCAAACAGG